UGGGGAAUAUUGGACAAUGGGCGCAAGCCUGAUCCAGCCAUGCCGCGUGAGUGAUGAAGGCCCUAGGGUUGUAAAGCUCUUUCACCGGUGAAGAUAAUGACGGUAACCGGAGAAGAAGGACCGGCCAACUUCGUGCCAGCAGCCGCGGUAAUACGAAGGGGGCUAGCGUUGUUCGGAUUUACUGGGCGUAAAGCGUACGUAGGCGGACUUUUAAGUCAGGGGUGAAAUCCCGGGGCUCAACCCCGGAACUGCCUUUGAUACUGGAAGUCUUGAGUAUGGUAGAGGUGGGUGGAAUUCCGAGUGUAGAGGUGAAAUUCGUAGAUAUUCGGAGGAACACCAGUGGCGAAGGCGGCUCACUGGACCAUUACUGACGCUGAGGUGCGAAAGCGUGGGGAGCAAACAGG
rnacentral:rRNA from 1 species